AUUAAUUGAUAUGGUACACUUACUCUACAUGAACUUGGAAAAAAGUAUAUCAAAGCUAUGUCUCUUUAAAUCUACUGUGGAAGAUAUUCCUUCUGGCCCAUAGGAUGCCAAAAUGACUUGAUGAUUUAUUUAUGUAGAGCUUGGCAGACUGGAGUCCAGAUUGUGGCUGAAGCUGAAUUUUAUGAGCCUUCCCCUAGUUCACCUAUUGAUUCACAGCUGGAUAAUCAGAAAUUACAGGAGCAAACAGACCUGGCGAAACAAUUUCCAAACCUAUUUUCCUCCUGUACAUACUUUCCAAAAGUGAAAAAUAUCAAGGCCAAAAAGGGAAAUAAUUUGUUAAGGGCAGAAGGAAGGAUUUCAACAAAGGAAUAAAGGAACAGAGUCACUGGGGGAGUCAGGUGGAGGUUUAUGGGUAAUGAAGAUGGCGCUGUGCUUUGACAUUCUAAACUUAAACCUGACGACUGCCAGUGACCAGCUCUGUGAAUGUGGCAGUUUAUCAAACUUCAGAGGCUUCAGUUUAUAGGCUUUGACAUCUGGCCAGAGCUACAAGGCUUUUUCAAAGUGAAAUAAAGGGUACUAUGGACAGGCAAAGGAUUAAACUCUGGUCAGUUUAAAUAUUGAUAAUACUGUCAGACUUGGUGAAUAAAUUGGUCACUAAAGUGC